rnacentral:miRNA from 1 species
ACUGGAGCUGCUUAAUGGGAGGAUAUCUUAAGCAGAAGAGCAGAAAUAUCCAGUGGGGUUUCCUCCAAUAUCUCACGAU